UACGGAAGGUCCCGGCGUUAUCCGGAUUUAUUGGGUUUAAAGGGAGCGUAGGCCGUGGAUUAAGCGUGUUGUGAAAUGUAGACGCUCAACGUCUGACUUGCAGCGCGAACUGGUUCACUUGAGUGUGCGCAACGCAGGCGGAAUUCGUGGUGUAGCGGUGAAAUGCUUAGAUAUCACGAAGAACUCCGAUUGCGAAGGCAGCUUGCGGGAGCACAACUGACGCUGAAGCUCGAAAGUGCGGGUAU
rnacentral:rRNA from 1 species